rnacentral:rRNA from 1 species
GACGAACGCUGGCGGCGUGCUUAACACAUGCAAGUCGAACGGUAAGGCCCCAGCUUGCUGGGGUACACGAGUGGCGAACGGGUGAGUAACACGUGGGUGACCUGCCCCGCACUUCGGGAUAAGCCUGGGAAACUGGGUCUAAUACCGGAUAGCACCGCACCGUGAGGGUGUGGUGGAAAGUUUUUCGGUGUGGGAUGGGCCCGCGGCCUAUCAGCUUGUUGGUGGGGUAAUGGCCUACCAAGGCGGCGACGGGUAGCCGGCCUGAGAGGGUGGACGGCCACAUUGGGACUGAGACACGGCCCAGACUCCUACGGGAGGCAGCAGUGGGGAAUAUUGCACAAUGGGCGGAAGCCUGAUGCAGCGACGCCGCGUGGGGGAUGACGGCCUUCGGGUUGUAAACUCCUUUCACCAUCGACGAAGGUUUUCUGACGGUAGAUGGAGAAGAAGCACCGGCUAACUACGUG